rnacentral:rRNA from 1 species
UGAGGAAUAUUGGUCAAUGGACGGAAGUCUGAACCAGCCAAGUAGCGUGCAGGAUGACGGCCCUAUGGGUUGUAAACUGCUUUUGUAUGGGGAUAAGGUUAGGGACGUGUCCCUAUUUGCAGGUACCAUACGAAUAAGGACCGGCUAAUUCCGUGCCAGCAGCCGCGGUAAUACGGAAGGUUCGGGCGUUAUCCGGAUUUAUUGGGUUUAAAGGGAGCGUAGGCUGGAGAUUAAGUGUGUUGUGAAAUGUAGACGCUCAACGUCUGAAUUGCAGCGCAUACUGGUUUCCUUGAGUACGCACAACGUUGGCGGAAUUCGUCGUGUAGCGGUGAAAUGCUUAGAUAUGACGAAGAACUCCGAUUGCGAAGGCAGCUGACGGGAGCGCAACUGACGCUUAAGCUCGAAGGUGCGGGUAUCAAACAGGAUUAGAUACCCUGGUAGUCCGCACAGUAAACGAUGGAUGCCCGCUGUUGGUACCUGGUAUCAGCGGCUAAGCGAAAGCAUUAAGCAUCCCACCUGGGGAGUACGCCGGCAACGGUG